UACGUAGGUGGCAAGCGUUGUUCGGAAUUAUUGGGCGUAAAGGGCGCGUAGGCGGUUUGUUAAGUCGGCUGUGAAAGCCCCGGGCUCAACCUGGGAAUUGCGGUUGAAACUGGCGAACUAGAAUCUGGCAGAGGGGGGUGGAAUUCCACGUGUAGCAGUGAAAUGCGUAGAGAUGUGGAGGAACACCGAUGGCGAAGGCAGCCCCCUGGGCUGAGAUUGACGCUCAGGCACGAAAGCGUGGGGAGCAAACAGG
rnacentral:rRNA from 1 species